UCUCUCCUUCCCGUGCACUCUCUCUCUCAUCCCUCUCGAUUUUCUCCUGUUUCCAUCAACUUUGUAUGAAUGAACUCCAAGCAUUCCAUUUCAGGCAUGGAUCGAGGUUUUAACGGAGUUUUUAAGGGCAUAGGAAGCUUUGAAUCAUCCUCACGAAGCUCGGAGAAGAAAAACAAAGUGAUUUGGACGUCAGAAAGUUGAGUUUUGACGAGUUGCAGGUUUAGCCGGAUUAUCGAGGGAUUUUCCGUCGAGUUCUGUGGAUUUUAGGGCUCUUGAAAGGGGAGACUUAUCCCAAGGACGAGCACAGUCAAGGAUGACUCGAAGGCUACGACCCUUCAACAUACCAGUUUUAGGUAGACUUGCUGUUGGUGGCUUUGAGGAUCUCGGC